rnacentral:miRNA from 10 species
GUUAGGGCAGGCGGGGGCGGGGGGGCGGGGGGGUCCCCCACCGUCUCCUCCGUGCAGAGUCUGUGAAA